AAGAAAGAAAGUUGAGUCAGAGGAAUAAAAAUAAUGGAGUUGUGUUUAAAAAAUAUGGAGAAAUUCUAAUAAGUUGACAAAUUAAACUAUAAAAUUUAUAAAGUAAAAUUUACAAUUAUAAUAAAAAAUAAGGGUUAUUUUGUCAAUAUAACAAAAAUAUAUUUUAUUACAACUCAUCUCCCUCUCCUCUCCUCUCCUCCAAACCCCCCAAUAUGCGGGAACAAAAAAUUGCUCCCAAAGAGAUUCAAAUUACCUCCCCCUCAUAAAAAACUGAAUCAAACAUAC
rnacentral:lncRNA from 1 species